UACGAGGGGCCCAAGCGUUAUUCGGAAUUACUGGGCUUAAAGAGUUCGUAGGCGGCAUGUAAAGUAGGGGGUGAAAGCCCUCGGCUCAACCGAGGAAUUGCGCUCUAAACUGUCGUGCUCGAGUAAUCUAGAGGUGAGCGGAACUGAUGGUGGAGCGGUGAAAUGCGUUGAUAUCAUCAGGAACACCGGAGGCGAAGGCGGCUCACUGGGGAUUUUCUGACGCUGAGGCACGAAAGCCAGGGUAGCGAACGGG
rnacentral:rRNA from 1 species